AUAGUUAUUUAGCAGUAUCGUAGCCAAUGAGGUUUAUCCGAGGCGCGAUUAUUGCUAAUUGAAAAAAAUAGUUAUUUAGUGCCCAUUAUAAGUCAGAGGUAGAUCUGCAUGCUGGCGGUAUAGUAAUGAGACAAUGACUCCAUU